CUUGACGAUUUCAAAUGCUGCGAAAUUGUGGAGAUAUUACACAUUUAACAAGAAUGAAUACAGUUUCAUUAACACGAAAACUAAGUUUGUUCUCGAGUUUACGGGGGAGUCGUGGUCGUUUUACAGGGGCUGGUAUUUUGAAGAGGAGCAUUGUCAUGUUGAAGAUAAAUCGCUACGUUUGACAAAUGCAAUAUGUUCAACUU